rnacentral:rRNA from 1 species
GAUCAUAGCUCAGGAUGAACGCUAGCUACAGGCUUAACACAUGCAAGUCGAGGGGCAGCAUGGUCUUAGCUUGCUAAGGCCGAUGGCGACCGGCGCACGGGUGAGUAAUACGUAUCCAACCUGCCGUCUACUCUUGGACAGCCUUCUGAAAGGAAGAUUAAUACAAGAUGGCAUCAUGAGUCCACAUGUUCACAUGAUUAAAGGUAUUCCGGUAGACGAUGGGGA